rnacentral:rRNA from 1 species
UACGUAGGGGGCAAGCGUUGUCCGGAUUUAUUGGGCGUAAAGCGCACGCAGGCGGUCUCUUAAGUUUCGAGUGACAGGUCAGGGCUUAACCCUGGCAGGCCUUGGAAAACUGGGGGACUUGAGGGCUUCAGAGGGACGCGGAAUUCCAGGUGGAGCGGUGAAAUGCGUAGAGAUCUGGAGGAACACCGGUGGCGAAGGCGGCAUUCUGGACCGAUAUUGACGCUGAGGAGCGAAAGCCAGGGGAGCAAACGGGG